UCUUCAUUGACUCUGCCAACAACGUGGUGU
rnacentral:piRNA from 2 species